GGCCUCGUAGCUCAGUUGGUUAGAGCGCCGCCCUGUCACGGCGGAGGUCACCGGUUCAAGUCCGGCCGAGGUCG
rnacentral:tRNA from 3 species